rnacentral:lncRNA from 1 species
AGGGAAGAGAGAGAGCACUUGACCCAGGCCGAGUGGUGGGAGCUCUUCUUCUUCAUCAAGAAGUUAAACGCAGAGGAACGGCAGCACGUGGUGGAGCUCCUUCAGGAGUUCCUGGAGGGGGAGCAUGUUCUGGACUUUGAGAUCCUGCCCGAGCUGACUGUACCUGUUGAGUUGGCUCAGGACCUGAUGCUGUCUCUGCCUCAACAACUUGAUGACAGCGCUUUGAGGGACCUGUUCAACUGCUAUGUGUACCGGAAGUACGGCCCCGAAGUCCUGGUAGGGAAGCGAAACCGCCCGUUUGUGCUAGAUGACCAGCUUAACCUAUUCCGGAUCGAAACGGACUCUGAAGAUGAGGCUGGCGCUGAAG